rnacentral:lncRNA from 1 species
UCACCAGUUUCUUAUUUUUGUUUAGCUUCUUCAAAGCUUCAACAUCCAUUGAUUCCAGUCCAAUUUUCUGAGGCAAUUUGACAGAACCACUGAAACACUUAUCCUUUUGUGGGUCGUAGUUCUUUUGAGAAUUGUGUUAACUGAGAUUAAAUAGAAAAUGCUCACAAAAUAAAAACUGUGUUUGGAGAAUUUAAUGGAAGCCAUGUUACCUUGAUUUACAGGAAUGAGACAUGUUCCAAUUUUGUUUGUCUGAUGUUUUGGUUAGUUUUUGUCACCGUGCGGUCGUCGUUGUUGUUGUUGCGGUAACUGUCACCGUAGUUGCAGUAACUGUCGCCGUCGUUGAGUUCAUCUUCGACAUUGUUGCUGCGUUCCCCAUUUCCCUCAUAGCGUGUUCCGGAUCUUCCUCAUCCUGCUUCAUCGCUUUCUUCUUUCCCCACCUUACACCAUCAAUUCCGGCGAAAUCCACAACCACCAACAGUUCCGGCGAAAUGGGGUUACCUUAAUUUAUCUCUUUUUAUCUGUAUAUUUGAUACAAAGGGUGUGUUUGGUAAAAAUAGUUAUAAGCUAGCUGAUAGCUGAAAAGCUAACUUAUAGCUGGUGGCU